rnacentral:rRNA from 1 species
UGCAAGUCGAACGGCAGCACAGUAAGAGCUUGCUCUUAUGGGUGGCGAGUGGCGGACGGGUGAGGAAUACAUCGGGAUCUACCUUUUCGUGGGGGAUAACGUAGGGAAACUUACGCUAAUACCGCAUACGACCUUCGGGUGAAAGCAGGGGACCUUCGGGCCUUGCGCGGAUAGAUGAGCCGAUGUCGGAUUAGCUAGUUGGCGGGGUAAAGGCCCACCAAGGCGACGAUCCGUAGCUGGUCUGAGAGGAUGAUCAGCCACACUGGAACUGAGACACGGUCCAGACUCCUACGGGAGGCAGCAGUGGGGAAUAUUGGACAAUGGGCGCAAGCCUGAUCCAGCCAUACCGCGUGGGUGAAGAAGGCCUUCGGGUUGUAAAGCCCUUUUGUUGGGAAAGAAAAGCAGUCGGCUAAUACCCGGUUGUUCUGACGGUACCCAAAGAAUAAGCACCGGCUAACUUCGUGCCAGCAGCCGCGGUAAUACGAAGGGUGCAAGCGUUACUCGGAAUUACUGGGCGUAAAGCGUGCGUAGGUGGUUGUUUAAGUCUGUUGUGAAAGCCCUGGGCUCAACCUGGGAAUUGCAGUGGAUACUGGGCGACUAGAGUGUGGUAGAGGGUAGUGGAAUUCCCGGUGUAGCAGUGAAAUGCGUAGAGAUCGGGAGGAACAUCCAUGGCGAAGGCAGCUACCUGGACCAACACUGACACUGA